rnacentral:rRNA from 1 species
AUUGGACGCUGGCGGCAGGCCUAACACAUGCAAGUCGAGCGGAUGAAGGGAGCUUGCUCCUGGAUUCAGCGGCGGACGGGUGAGUAAUGCCUAGGAAUCUGCCUGGUAGUGGGGGAUAACGUCCGGAAACGGGCGCUAAUACCGCAUACGUCCUGAGGGAGAAAGUGGGGGAUCUUCGGACCUCACGCUAUCAGAUGAGCCUAGGUCGGAUUAGCUAGUUGGUGGGGUAAAGGCCUACCAAGGCGACGAUCCGUAACUGGUCUGAGAGGAUGAUCAGUCACACUGGAACUGAGACACGGUCCAGACUCCUACGGGAGGCAGCAGUGGGGAAUAUUGGACAAUGGGCGAAAGCCUGAUCCAGCCAUGCCGCGUGUGUGAAGAAGGUCUUCGGAUUGUAAAGCACUUUAAGUUGGGAGGAAGGGCAGUAAGUUAAUACCUUGCUGUUUUGACGUUACCAAUAGAAUAAGCACCGGCUAACUUCGUG